rnacentral:piRNA from 1 species
UGGAUGUGUGUUUUAAAUAUAUAUAGU